GACGAACGCUGGCGGCGUGCCUAAUACAUGCAAGUCGAACGCAGUGGGGACGGGUGAGUAACACGUGGGUAACAGCCCAUCAGAGGGGAUAACACUUGGAAACAGGUGCUAAACCGAUACUGAAGGAUGGACCCGCGGUGCAUUAGGUAGAUGGUGAGGUAACGGCUCACCAAGGCCACGAUGCAUAGCCUGCCUGCGGGGGUGGACGGCCAAACUGGGACUUAGACACGGCCCAGACUCCUACGGGAUGCAGCAGUAGGGCAUCUUCGGCAAUGGACGAAAGUCGUACCGAGCACCGCCGCGUGAGUGAAGAAGGGUUUCGGAUCGUAAAACUCUGUUGUUAGAGAAGCGGUAUCUAACCAGAAAGCCACGGCUAACUACGUGCCAGCAGCCGCGGUAAAUAC
rnacentral:rRNA from 1 species